AAAGAAAGAAAGAAAGAUGUAGUUGG
rnacentral:piRNA from 1 species